CCUGACCUUAGAGGUACCAGUACUGCUGCUGUGUCACCUGUGUGUCAGGAGGUAACACAGAGGAGAGAGGCCAUGUCUAUCCUCAGUGUUCUGACCUGUGAACAGCUGAAUGAUUAGUAGCCUAACACU